rnacentral:rRNA from 1 species
CCUGCCAGCCGCUCAGAACUUAAGGAGUGACGGGACCGCACAAGCGGUGGAUGAUGUGGUUUAAUUCGAUGCAACGCGAAAACCUUACCCACCUUGACAUGUACGGAAUUUGCCAGAGAUGGCUUAGUGCUCGAAAGAGAGCCGUAACACAGGUGCUGCAUGGCUGUCGUCAGCUCGUGUCGUGAGAUGUUGGGUUAAGUCCCGCAACGAGCGCAACCCUUGUCAUUAGUUGCUACAUUUAGUUGGGCACUCUAAUGAGACUGCCGGUGACAAACCGGAGGAAGGUGGGGAUGACGUCAAGUCCUCAUGGCCCUUAUAGGUGGGGCUACACACGUCAUACAAUGGCUGGUACAAAGGGUUGCCAACCCGCGAGGGGGAGCUAAUCCCAUAAAGCCAGUCGUAGUCCGGAUCGCAGUCUGCAACUCGACUGCGUGAAGUCGGAAUCGCUAGUAAUCGUGGAUCAGAAUGUCACGGUGAAUACGUUCCCGGGUCUU